rnacentral:rRNA from 1 species
GUAGGGUGCGAGCGUUAAUCGGAAUCACUGGGCGUAAAGCGUGCGCAGGCGGCGGCACAAGUCAGGUGUGAAAUCCCCGGGCUUAACCUGGGAAUUGCGCUUGAAACUAGGUCGCUAGAGUGUGGCAGAGGGGGGUGGAAUUCCACGUGUAGCAGUGAAAUGCGUAGAGAUGUGGAGGAACACCGAUGGCGAAGGCAGCCCCCUGGGUCAACACUGACGCUCAGGCACGAAAGCGUGGGGAGCAAACAGGAUUAGAUACCCUGGUAGUCCACGCCCUAAACGAUGUCGACUAGGUGUUGGGGAAGGAGACUUCCUUAGUACCGCAGCUAACGCGUGAAGUCGACCGCCUGGGGAGUACGGUCGCAAGAUUA